AGCGGGAGCCAUGGACCUUUGGUGGUGAAGCUCGCCGACAGCCUGGAUCGCCGGCGGGGGAGGACCGAAGACCAUGUGCACCACUAUGAUGGUCCUCACCACCGUGGCCCUACUUGUACGACGGCACUUCAACAACAAAGUCAGGCCGCAAUCCGGUGACCCCGGCGAAGAAGACCCAGAACACAUGCCAAGCAGCCAGGCGUCAACUGCCCAGAAAUGACCGUGCCUCAUGCAUCGCUGGGGGCAACAGCAAACGGAAGAUGUGGGUGCAGGAUGUGCAGAGUCUCCUAAAUUCAAUGGCUCAACAGCUGAGUGCUUCUCUGGAGAGGUACCCAAGACCCGAGCACACUUCCGCCUCCGCUCACCGCCGAUAUCUGCCCUCUCUCAGAGCAGAUUGCGACUGCCUCCCAUAUCAACAGCAUCACCAGCCCCACAUCGCCACGGCUAAUCCACUACCCCGAGUCUCCUAAUUGGCUCCGAGAUGCUUCAGGAACGGACACUAAAACAGGAUCUGACACGGGAGCCAACUCCAAUACAAAACACCAAUUUGUAUCUAUUGAAGGUUAUCAAGUAAGCCUUAGAGCCCACAGACUAGAGAGUUGUUCUUCCCAGCCUCAUCGCUGGUGGCAGCUGUUUGUAAAAGUAUGGAGA